GACGAACGCUGGCGGCGUGCUUAACACAUGCAAGUCGAACGGAAAGGCCCUGCUUUUGUGGGGUGCUCGAGUGGCGAACGGGUGAGUAACACGUGAGUAACCUGCCCUUGACUUUGGGAUAACUUCAGGAAACUGGGGCUAAUACCGGAUAGGAGCUCCUGCUGCAUGGUGGGGGUUGGAAAGUUUCGGCGGUUGGGGCUGGACUCGCGGCUUAUCAGCUUGUUGGUGGGGUAGUGGCUUACCAAGGCUUUGACGGGUAGCCGGCCUGAGAGGGUGACCGGCCACAUUGGGACUGAGAGACGGCCCAGACUCCUACGGGAGGCAGCAGUGGGGAAUAUUGCACAAUGGGCGGAAGCCUGAUGCAGCAACGCAGCGUGCGGGAUGACGGCCUUCGGGUUGUAAACCGCUUUCGCCUGUGACGAAGCGUGAGUGACGGUAAUGGGUAAAGAAGCACCGGCUAACUACGUG
rnacentral:rRNA from 1 species